AUGUCACGACGAGGUACUGCAGAAAAAAAAAUCGUAAAAUCCGAUCCAAUUUAUCGUAAUCGAGUAGUUAACAUGUUGGUGAACCAUAUUAUGAAACACGGAAAAAAAUCAUUGGCGUAUCUAAUUAUCUAUCGAGCUCUGAAAAGGAUUCAACAAAAGACAAAAACAAAUCCACUAUACGUUUUACGUCAAGCAAUACGUGGGAGAAUGGCGGAGGCAAAUAGAAUUCUUGCACAUUUUCGUUAA